rnacentral:piRNA from 1 species
UGGAAGCCAGCUUUGCCAAACUUACCUCUA